CAUUGGCCCAGGGAAAUGACGUGGAUGUGUGAGACGACUCCAUUUUCCUUGAUUCAAACGAAGAAUAAAAGUGUCAAAGAAAAGACUUUGCUACUGCUACUGCUACUGCUACUGCUACUGCUACUGCUAAUGUGUUGGGAUGGACAAAAUUAACUUGAGGUCAGAAAGCGCACCAAGGAUGCAGACUAAUGUCGUCUGACUCAAGACAGACCAGAUGCUAAAACCUCGACUCAAAAGUAGCAUUUUUCCUGAAAUAAAAAUUGACUUGGAAAAUAAGAUAUCUCUCGGCCUCUCGUCGUCGUAAGAGUUUUAAAUAUUUCGUGAGUAAGUAUGAUUUUCCUCUUCGAAUGAAUGCGCAGAAAUGUCGGAAUUUGAAGCCUAAAAGAUCGACUUAAAAUGCAUAGCUCAAGCUACCGAUCAAGUUAGAGACUUGAUGGAUGAUGAUUUGUCAAACAAAACAUGAAUUCACUCAGGUCAUAUAAUUCUACCUCUUCUAAAUCAAUAAAAAAUUGACGUGUUUUGA